rnacentral:misc_RNA from 1 species
GAAAUGCGAUAAGUAAUGUGAAUUGCAGAAUUCAGUGAAUCAUCGAAUCUUUGAACGCACAUUGCGCCCGCCAGUAUUCUGGCGGGCAUGCCUGUCCGAGCGUCAUUUCAACCAUCAAGCCCCGGGCUUGUGUUGGGGACCCGCGGCUGCCCGCAGGCCCUGAAAACCAGUGGCGGGCUCGCUGUCACACCGAGCGUAGUAGCAAUCACCUCGCUCAGGGCGUGCUGCGGGUUCCGGCCGUUAAACAGCCUUACAAAACCCAAGGUUGACCUCGGAUCAGGUAGGAAGACCCGCUGAACUUAAGC